CAACUCUCUUGAAAGCUUUGUGCUUUGGUUUUCUCUCCAUUUUCUCUCCAUCUACCACACCACCACUUUGGUGUUCUUGAAGUCAUUUUUCUGUCCAAAUCAAAUUGAAAAGGAGCUAAGAAAUUACACGAAGGAGGGUAAGUAUGGAUGUACUUACUGAGGAAUGAUUCUAUGUUUCAUUAGGACUGUGUGUUGAGUGCUUAUUGCAUGUGGUUGUUUAUGCAUAGCAUGUUGUGUCUAAUAAAAUAUAACGGCUGAUAAGAUAGCCAGUACAUCAGUUGACUUGGGGGGUUAAAAAACCAAAGCUGAUGUAGUAGCAAAGGGGAGGUAAAGCUCAUCAGUGAACCCUAAAAAGUGCGAGUCCGAAGUUCUAAUAUAUAACUAAUGCUGGGACCGGUAGGAUUCCAGUAAAAACAGGUAAGACAUUAAGUGGGAGGCAACGGACGUGAACGGGUUUUGAUAACCUAGAACGAGGGGUCUGAAGAAAGAUGAUCAUAAAAUACAAACUAAAUGGUUACUACGAUGUAUAUUCAUACAACUCUUGCAUUUAUACUAUUUAUGAACUGUUAUUGAUCUGAUGGUGACUUAGAUAUGAAAAUAGAUGACUCACUUGUUUGUCUAUGUAAAUAUGAUGACGUCAUAUUUACAUAGUUGCUGAUGCAGAUCUGGAAGACGAAGGCAUGGACUCAUAUGCCUGUUUUAAUGGUUUUUGAAACUAUUGCUGUAGCUAUAUGUGCUAGCUUAGAAAUUGCUAGGCAUAUUUAUAUGUGUUUUAUUUCAAGGCCUGUAAUAAUUAUGACGAUGUUUUGUUUGGUGUAUUUUUAUGUUGUAUAUGUGCCGUUUGUGGCACUUAUUUUAAUGCACCUAGGGUGCAAAUGGCGUGUAAAGAUAAACCUAAGUAACUUUUUAUAAACGCAUCGAGGUAUUUCAGUCA